CAAUAGCGUAUAUUUAAGUUGCUGCAGUUAAAAAGCUCGUAGUUGGAUUUCGGGUGGGAAUGGCCGGUCCGCCGUUUCGGUGUGCACUUGCUACGCCCACCUUGCUGCCGGGGACGUGCUCUUGAGUUCACGCUCGGGACACGGAGUCGGCGAGGUUACUUUGAGUAAAUUAGAGUGCUCAAAGCAGGCCUACGCUCUGAAUACAUUAGCAUGGAAUAACACGAUAGGACUCUGGCCUAUCUUGUUGGUCUGUAGGACCGGAGUAAUGAUUAAGAGGGACAGUCGGGGGCACUCGUAUUUCAUUGUCAGAGGUGAAAUUCUUGGAUUUAUGAAAGACGAACUACUGCGAAAGCAUUUGCCAAGGAUGUUUUCAUUAA
rnacentral:rRNA from 1 species